AGGGCACCACCAGGAGUGGAGCCUGCGGCUUAAUUUGACUCAACACGGGGAAACUUACCCGGCCCGGACACUGGAAGGAUUGACAGAUUGAGAGCUCUUUCUUGAUUCAGUGGGUGGUGGUGCAUGGCCGUUCUUAGUCGGUGGAGCGAUUUGUCUGGUUAAUUCCGAUAACGAACGAGACUCUAGCCUAUUAAAUAGGCUCCCGGCUUUUAAACGCCGGGAGGACUUCUUAGAGGGACAGGUGGCGGUUCAGCCGCACGAAAGAGAGCAAUAACAGGUCUGUGAUGCCCUUUGAUGUCCGGGGCCGCACGCGCGCUACACUGAAGAGAUCAGCGUGCUUUAUGUUCCUGCUCCGACCGGAGUGGGGAACCCAGUGAAACUUCUUCGUGAUUGGGAUAGAACAUUGUAAUUAUUGUUCUUGAACGAGGAAUUCCCAGUAAAUGCGAGUCAUAAGCUCGCGUUGAUUACGUCCCUGCCCUUUGUACACACCGCCCGUCGCUACUACCGAUUGAACGAUUU
rnacentral:rRNA from 1 species